GUGGGGAAUAUUGGACAAUGGGCGCAAGCCUGAUCCAGCCAUACCGCGUGGGUGAAGAAGGCCUUCGGGUUGUAAAGCCCUUUUGUUGGGAAAGAAAUCCUGUCGGUUAAUACCUGGCGGGGAUGACGGUACCCAAAGAAUAAGCACCGGCUAACUUCGUGCCAGCAGCCGCGGUAAUACGAAGGGUGCAAGCGUUACUCGGAAUUACUGGGCGUAAAGCGUGCGUAGGUGGUGGUUUAAGUCCGUUGUGAAAGCCCUGGGCUCAACCUGGGAAGUGCAGUGGAUACUGGAUCACUAGAGUGUGGUAGAGGGAUGCGGAAUUUCUGGUGUAGCAGUGAAAUGCGUAGAGAUCAGAAGGAACAUCCGUGGCGAAGGCGGCAUCCUGGGCCAACACUGACACUGAGGCACGAAAGCGUGGGGAGCAAACAGGAUUAGAAACCCUGGUAGUCC
rnacentral:rRNA from 1 species